rnacentral:rRNA from 1 species
UGGGUUAGUGGCGGACGGGUGAGUAACGCGUGGGUAACCUGCCUUACACAGGGGGAUAACACUUAGAAAUAGGUGCUAAAACCGCAUAAGCGCACAGCUUCGCAUGAAGCGGUGUGAAAAACUCCGGUGGUGUAAGAUGGACCCGCGUCUGAUUAGCUUGUUGGCGGGGUAACGGCCCACCAAGGCGACGAUCAGUAGCCGGCCUGAGAGGGUGGACGGCCACAUUGGGACUGAGACACGGCCCAAACUCCUACGGAAGGCAGCAG